rnacentral:lncRNA from 1 species
ACACAUCCUGUCAGUCCUACUGAUCAUGCUUUCCAGUCACUGAAGGCCCACCACCCAUCCAAAAGGCCAUUCCCCCUACACAUACACACACACACACACACACACACACCCCUAAUUGGCCCUAUCUCAGGUGCACAGUGGAGAUCCUGACAACCCCUAGUGGAAUGUAACUAUUCAAGAGGGAGAACCGAAACUUCUCCCCCAUCAAAGCUACAACUUACUCGCUUCACGUCGGGUUUUUAGCAGCACUUGAGCCCCAAGAAGGCCGAAUGUCCAUGUGCCUGGUUCAGGCCGCAUUCCCACUCCCCCUUUCUCACAACACACUUGAGAUAAUUAGCAGCUCCAUAAAUGAAGCCCUGCUCUGGGCCCCUCACAGAUGCGAAACGAGGGGCGCAGGAGCUGACAGAUACCUUUUGGCAAUCCAGUGUAUUCCUGAGACACAGGCUGCCUCCCAGCAAGGGCCCAGCCUCCAAGGACACAGGGUCCUGACAUCAUGCCCCACAGGUACCUCUGCACAGAGAAGCAUCUUCCCAGGGGCCGCUCAAUCUGUCAUCCUCUGCGUCGACCUUGAAGAGGAAGUACAGGAGGUGAAAAAGGGCGUCCUCAGGCCAGUGGCCAUGGGUCUGGAGGUUCUGCACCCACCGGGGCAAGGAAGAGGGAUCCAGAGACGCCAGGCAAGAAGCAAGCCUCACAGAAAGCUGGAAAAUGCGAGCUGGUCGCCCCGCACUCAGCAGAGGCAUCUCGGUGGAGGUGGCGGCUUCUGUCCACAGUGCAUUGCCAGAUUCCAUGGUGCUGGAGGACUUCAGCUCUUCCUUCUACCCCUUGGCCACCCAGGGAUUUCCUUGGGAUCAACUGCAUGAACAUCUAUGGAAGAUAUUACAUUUUGGUUUUGAUGACCACGUCUCCCUCCUGCUCACAUGACAGCUUCACGUCCUGGAGAAGUGGGGCACCUGGGUGGCUCAGUUGGUAAAGGGUCUGCCUUCUGCUGGGGUCAGGAUCCCGGGUCCUGGGAUCGCAUCCCACAUCCAACUCUCUGCUCAGCAGGGACCUGCUUCUCCCUCUCUGUCUGCCUCCCACUCUGCCUGCUUGUGCUCUCUCUAUAUAUAUAUAUCAAGUGAAUAAACAGAAUCUCUUAAAAAAAUAAUUCUCUCAUCUUGCCUCAAAGUGCAAACCUCUUCUCCUGACCCACUGUGAGCGCUCUCCUGCUCUGAGACCUCUCUUCUCACCAGUACCACUACUGCACUCACAACAACAAACAACGACAUUCAAUGGUUUCCUAAGUGCCAGGUGGCCACCCAGGCCGUCAACAGCCAGCACCAUAGAAUCACCACAAUCCAUGAGCCCCACACACUAUCCAUUAUCCCCGCUGGCACAGGCUCUAUUCCAUUCAUUCUCCCCUGGCAGGAAAGGCUCCCUCCACUUCAGACUUAAAACCACGGUUUAAUUCUCUCCUGUGACACAUGCUCUGCAUGGCAAUAUCUGUCUUCUUCUCUAAGUGUAGCCGGCUUGCUAGACUCAGAGAGUUUUCUCCUCUUGACAUUUCACCAAGAGCCGGCUCAUGGCGAAGUGCUCACUCCAGACCUCACACUGUCAUCAUCACUUGCCUCCUAAACAUCUCUCUGCAAAAUUACACCUUGUAUUCUCCCUAGUCCCACUAGGAGUUCCUUCUCCUGGUCUCUUAAAGAUGGCAACUCCCUCCACACUGUCACUUAGACUCCACAUGGGGAAGAGAAGCAUUUUCAAGACUUAAGUCAGUGAGACAUCAGAAGUCACCAUAUUUAUCCCUCAUCAAAUUAAACGCACAUCAAACACCGAGAAUUUUUGGCAAAGAAAACUGAAGCCCAAAAUCUUAACUUCAUAUUGUCGAGGCUUUAUCUAAGAGAGAAAGAAACAAAGAUAAGCUGGAUGUCAAAACAUAUUAUGAGUAAUAAUCUAUAGUACAGAUAGUACCACAAUUGUAAUCCAAAGAUAUGACAACAAUCACUUUGCUUAGCAGCAUGAAUUCACAGGAUUAAAAUGGAAGACAAAAUUAGAAUUUCUGAUGAAGUCAUUAAGGUUUACAAUCAGUUUAUGAUAAAGAGCACAAGUGUGUUUAACUUAUUUUUGACCCCAAAUUCUAUUCACAUUGUAUUCAAUGAAUGUUCAACCUAUUCAAUGUUGACAAGGGAUCAUGCAGACAUUGAAAAAAUAUCCAUUAACUCAUCAUUUCCCUAAAUUUUUUUUAUGUUAGUCACCACACAGUCUGUCAUUAGUUUUUGGUUUUUUUAAGUUAUUUUUUAUUUAUUUUCAGCAUAACAGUAUUCAUUGUUUUUGUACCACACCCAGUGCUCCAUGCAAUCUGUGCCCUCUCUAAUACCCACCACCUUGUUCCCCCAACC